GACGAACGCUGGCGGCGUGCUUAACACAUGCAAGUCGAGCGGUAAGGCCCUUUUGGGGGUACACGAGCGGCGAACGGGUGAGUAACACGUGGGUGACCUGCCCUCAGCUCUGGGAUAAGCCUGGGAAACUGGGUCUAAUACCGGAUAUGACUGUGCAUCGCAUGGUGUGUGGUGGAAAGUUUUUUCGGCUGGGGAUGGGCCCGCGGCCUAUCAGCUUGUUGGUGGGGUGAUGGCCUACCAAGGCGA
rnacentral:rRNA from 1 species